rnacentral:lncRNA from 1 species
UGUCACGAAAUGCGCCGCCGCGUCACCCUUCGGAUAGUGACUUGAACGCACGAACAGAACGGAGCUAUUUGGAUAUAACUAUGGAUUAUUUCGAACCAAAACAACAUUUGUUGUUGAAGUAGAAGUACUGGGAGUGCAUUCUGACGAAGAACAGCAAAGGUGAGAGCUUGCGGGACAAGAAGGCACAGGGAUGGAGCUUCUGGUCCAAGGGAGAACGUUGAGACAGGACUGCACCUCUCCUGUGUCGGAAGCGUCCACCUCGAGGACGAACUGGAGUUCUGGGUCUGGCUGGAGUUAAUGUCGACAGUCAGGAUGUGGAAUACACUGAUGUCAGGAUACUGAAGAAGCAGAUGAGACAGAAGGAAAGAAAGGUGGAUUACGGACAGGUGAAGUGGAGGGGGGUCCCCAGCAGCCAAUGGAGGUGGCUUGGGGAGACCAUUGAAAAUUGGAGGCAGUCUGUAGGAAUACUCAUACCAUUAUCAAUGGAACAUCAUUAGUAGGUACUUUCUAACUCCAUGUCACACCCUGAUCUGUUUCACCUGUCAGCACCUGUAGCUGCUGCUUUUGCGAUAGCUAAUG